UUGGGAAUCUUGCACAAUGGGGGAAACCCUGAUGCAGCGACGCCGCGUGGAGGACGAAGGUUUUCGGAUUGUAAACUCCUUUUCUCGGGAAAGACUUAGGACGGUACCCGAGGAAUAAGCACCGGCUAACUACGUGCCAGCAGCCGCGGUAAGACGUAGGGUGCAAGCGUUGUCCGGAUUUACUGGGCGUAAAGAGCGCGUAGGCGGCUCGUUAAGUGUGAAGUGAAAUCUCCAGGGCUCAACCCGGAAACUGCUUUACAUACUGGCGAGCUUGAGGGUCACAGAGGCAACUGGAAUUCCUGGUGAAGCGGUGAAAUGCGUAGAUAUCAGGAGGAACUCCCAUGGCGAAGGCAGGUUGCUGGGUGACAUCUGACGCUGAGGCGCGAAAGCGUGGGUAGCAAACAG
rnacentral:rRNA from 1 species